UACGUAGGGUGCGAGCGUUAAUCGGAAUUACUGGGCGUAAAGCGUGCGCAGGCGGCUUGCCAAGUCAGAUGUGAAAGCCCCGGGCUCAACCCGGGAACGGCGUUUGAAACUGGCAGGCUAGAGUUUGGCAGAGGGGGGUGGAAUUCCGACGUGUAGCAGUGAAAUGCGUAGAGAUGUGGAGGAACACCGAUGGCGAAGGCAGCCCCCUGGGCCAAAACUGACGCUCAGGCACGAAAGCGUGGGGAGCAAACAGG
rnacentral:rRNA from 1 species